rnacentral:rRNA from 1 species
AUGGCUUUUCUAUUUCCCAAGAAAAGUAUACAGGAUCUUCUUGCUCGUGCUGCUCUUACUGAUGAGCACACUGUUGAGACUCCCAUGGAGCUCAAUGUUCACCUCUGUGAUACUGAUGGUGACCCCUUGCCUGAUCUGGUGCGUUAUUGUCAUCUUGUUGGGAGUCUUGUCUAUCUUGUUGGGAGUCUUGUCUAUCUAGUUGUCACUCAUCCAGAUAUCUCCUAUCCGGUCCAUAUUCUGAGUCAGUUUGUCUCUGCUCCCACUUCGGUUCACUAUAGUCACCUCCUUCAUGUUCUUCCAUAUCUUCAAGGCACGAUCUCUCACCGCCUGUUCUUUCCUCGCUCCGGUUCCUUACAGCUUCGGGCCUAUUCGAAUGCUACGUGGGCUAGUGAUCCCUCGAAUCGCCGUUUACUUUCUGCUUAUUGUGUUCUUCUUGGUGGUUCUCUCAUUGCCUGGAAGACGAAGUAG